rnacentral:lncRNA from 1 species
ACGAUGUUAGACCAUCAUGUAAUUGGGCUUGCUAGAUUUUCAAUUUGAUGUAUCGUAUCGACUGCUGGGUAAGUGAGGGAGAUUUAUGAUGUCAUAGUAAAAAAAGGGUACCAAAUGCAAAUACACAGAAGGUCAAAAUUAAAAACUGGAACUACGUUGUGGGCAAAAAAAGAGAAGUUUGGUAUCCUAGGAGAUCCCUCAAGAAGGAAAUCAGGGGGCGCGUCAUCGAAAGGACCCCUUAGAAAAAUACCCUAGAAGUUGUAAGAAUUAUUUGGAGGAAAAUGCUUAUAAAAGGGAUUUAAAAGAGCUCUCAUACCUGGAGAAGGAUUUGAUCAAGUUCCAAAGAAAAAGAAAAGAACUAAGAUAGUGGACCAUUUUGAAGAAGAUUCUAAUGAAAUAUAUUUGGAGACAUUUGACAAAUAAUCCCAAACCAAUGUAAAAUCAACUCAAACACUUGUGUGAAAAAAGGUACACGCAUAUAAAAAAGCAUGUGUAUCUCGAAUUAUGUAAACUAGUAGGGCUUCUUAUACCAGAAAGGAUUCAAUCAUUCUAGAACUCGAGUCACUAAGGAAACGGAAUGCAGAUUUACACGAAAAAGUGAAAAUCCUUCAAACGGAAAAUAGAUUAUUACAAUAAAAAUCUAAUUUUAUGGAAGCAAAGAAAGGAGAACUGUAAAAGAGAAUUACUAAAUCUCAAUGUAAACUAAAUAUCAGGUGGAAGACGUUUGGAAAAUAGAAUGAGGAGGAUAUUGUAAAAGGACUGAUACUGAAGUCUCUUUCCUCAAAAUCCUAUAGUUAUAUUCAAUCCAGUCGUCUACUUCCGGUUCCUAGUGUAACAACCCUCAAAGGGUGGAGCCGAAACUUUAAAACAGCUCGUGGAAUAAAAUCAAAUAUUAUUAAAUUUAUCGCUCAACAAAUCAAAUCCAACGAAACUCCCAUUGGAAACUUAACUGUCUUCAGCUUUGAUGAGAUGAAGCUCCCGACUAUUAUCAAAAAAGGACUUUGGAUGGACCUAUG